rnacentral:tRNA from 1 species
GAAAUAUGUAAUUCAAGAAUGAGCUUCUAACUAUAUUCUUUAACGAUGAAACUUCGUUAAUAUUUCU